GACGAACGCUGGCGGCGUGCCUAAUACAUGCAAGUCGAACGCUGACGGCGGAGCUUGCUCUUCUGGAUGAGUUGCGAACGGGUGAGUAACGCGUAGGUAACCUGCCUGGUAGCGGGGGAUAUCUAUUGGAAACGAUAGCUAAUACAGCAUAACAGUAGAUGUUCCCUGACAUUCACUUAAAAGGUGCAAUUGCAUCACUACCAGAUGGACCUGCGUUGUAUUAGCUAGUUGGUGGGGUAAUGGCUCACCAAGGCGACGAUACAGAGCCGACCUGGGAGGGGGAGGAGCCACACUGGGACUGGGACACGGCCCAGACUCCUACGGGAGGCAGCAGGAGGGAAUCUUCGGCAAGGGACAGAAGUCUGACCGAGCAACGCCGCGGGAGUGAAGAAGGUUUUCGGAUCGUAAAGCUCUGUUGUAAGAGAAGAACGAGUGUGGGAGUUGAAAGUUCACACUGUGACGGUAUCUUACCAGAAAGGGACGGCUAACUACGUG
rnacentral:rRNA from 1 species